CUCGGUGUGAUGUGUGCUCAGGUAAAUUGUGCUGAUUAGCUUUUCAAGAGGGGCUAAUAAAAAUCACAUCAGCACUAUUUAACAAAAAGUUUGAGAUCUCAACAACAUGUAAUGGAUCUACUGAUACCCAAGAGAUUUCUAUGGACAACAAGUCAGUAUGCCCACAUUUCUUUCCCAAGGUCUCCCUCCUUCAGAGAUCCCACUGUGAGCUUUCUGUGUCUCAGUCUUUCAACAACUGGGCUUGUUUUCAGGUUCUUUGAAUUCAGGGUCUCAAAGCUCCUGCCAGGAUUUUGCGAUGUCCAGGGCACCCAGAGGGAUAUCCCAAUUUCCAACACCAGUGCUGGGUCUCAUAUGGGUGUCACUUAAACUGAAAGCAAUUAAGAAACAUCUGCAGACAACAGAACAUUGUCAAGUGAACAAUGAAAUUUCUUCUAAGAGAAGAGAGAGAGUAAAGCACGCUCUCAGCAAGACUGGGAAAGCUCUGUCCAAACAAAAACCAUGUUUAUGUCCUCACUGGAGCUCCAGUGUGUUGCAACAUAUCUCUCAAGAGCACUGUAAACCAAGACAGAGUUGACCCAGACAUUGCA